rnacentral:rRNA from 1 species
ACGAACGCUGGCGGCAGGCUUAACACCUGCCAGUCGAACGCCCCGCAAGGGGAGUGGCAGACGGGUGAGUAACGCGUGGGAACAUACCCUUUUCUACGGAAUAGCUCUGGGAAACUGGAAUUAAUACCGUAUACGCCCUACGGGGGAAAGAUUUAUCGGGGAAGGAUUGGCCCGCGUUGGAUUAGCUAGUUGGUGGGGUAAAGGCCUACCAAGGCGACGAUCCAUAGCUGGUCUGAGAGGAUGAUCAGCAACAUUGGGACUGAGACACGGCCCAAACUCCUACGGGAGGCAGCAGUGGGGAAUAUUGGACAAUGGGCGCAAGCCUGAUCCAGCCAUGCCGCGUGAGUGAUGAAGGCCUUAGGGUUGUAAAGCUCUUUCACCGAUGAAGAUAAUGACGGUAGUCGGAGAAGAAGCCCCGGCUAACUUCGUG